UAUUACACUCAAGGUUCACGUCAAAACAUGGCCGACCCAAAAUAAUUCCUGAUUUUUUCCCUUGAUUGCAGGACUUUAGCAGAGAGGAUUGAGUGAUGAGGCCAAACACAUGGCUUUCAAGCACCUACUUGACUUCGAUGUAAACAAACUUGAACGUACGCCUUGCUGGAUGGGUAUGUAUUUUUUUGUACUGAAAUGUUAAGUAACAGUAGUACUACAAGAUGUGAAAGUAAAACGUCUGAGAAGUUUGUUUUGAAUGAGUGAGGCCAUACUAAAGGUGAGUAAUUUUGGUA